rnacentral:rRNA from 1 species
AUUGAACGCUGGCGGCAUGCUUUACACAUGCAAGUCGAACGGCAGCGCGGGGCCACCUGUCGGCGAGUGGCGAACGGGUGAGUAAUACAUCGGAACGUACCCAGACGUGCGGGAUAACGUAGCGAAAGUUACGCUAAUACUGCCUACGUUCUACGGUAGUAAGUGGGGGACAUUCGGGCUUCAUGCUUUUGGUGCGGCCGAUGUCUGAUUAGCUGGUUGGUGAGGUACAGGCUCACCAAGGCGGCGAUCAGUAGCUGGUGUGAGAGGACGACCCGCCACACUGGGACGGAGACACGGCCGAGACGCCUACGGGGGGCAGCAGUGGGGGAUUUUGUAGAAUGGUGGGAAGCCUGAUCCAGCAGUGCCGCGUGGGUGAAGAAGGCCGUCGGGUUGUAAAGCUCUUUUGUCAGGGGAGAAGCGGCUGAGGAUAGUACCUGCGGCUAAUGACGGUACCUGAAGAAGAAGCACCGGCUAACUACGUG